GACGAACGCUGGCGGCGUGCCUAAUACAUGCAAGUCGAGCGGAUGACGGAGGAGCUUGCUCCUCCUGAUUCAGCGGCGGACGGGUGAGUAACACGUGGGCAACCUGCCCUGUAGAUUGGGAUAACUCCGGGAAACCGGGGCUAAUACCGAAUAAUCCUUCGGACCUCAUGGUCCGAUGUUGAAAGACGGCAUCUCGCUGUCACUACAGGAUGGGCCCGCGGCGCAUUAGCUAGUUGGUGAGGUAACGGCUCACCAAGGCCACGAUGCGUAGCCGAACUGAGAGGGUGAUCGGCCACACUGGGACUGAGACACGGCCCAGACUCCUACGGGAGGAAGCAGUAGGGAAUCUUCCACAAUGGACGAAAGUCUGAUGGAGCAACGCCGCGUGAGUGAAGAAGGUUCUCGGAUCGUAAAACUCUGUUGUGAGGGAAGAACAAGUACCGGAGUAACUGCCGGUGCCUUGACGGUACCUCAUUGGAAAGCCACGGCUAACUACGUGCCAGCAGCCGCCGUAAAAC
rnacentral:rRNA from 1 species